CUGGGCGGUGGCGGGGCACGCAUCGCCUGCGGCGUGAUCGGCGGCUGAGCCGCAGCAGCGGCGGGCGUUCAGCGCUCGCCGCGCAGG
rnacentral:tRNA from 1 species